AGUGAACGCUGGCGGUAGGCCUAACACAUGCAAGUCGAACGGCAGCACACUAAGAGCUUGCUCUUACGGGUUGCGAAUGGCGGACGGGUGAGGAAUGCAACGGAAUCUACUUUUUCGUGGGGGAUAACGUAGGGAGACUUACGCUAAUACCGCAUACGACCUACGGGUGAAAGCAGGGGAUAUUCGGACCUUGCGCGAAUGAAUGAGCCGAUGUCGGAUUAGCUAGUUGGCGGGGUAAUGGCCCACCUAGGCGACGAUCCGUAGCUGGUGUGAGAGGCUGAUAGGCGGCAUUAGAGCUGGGACGGGCACCAGGGUCCUGCGGGACGGAGCAGACGGGAAUGUUGGGCAAUAGGCGGAAGCCUGGUACAGCGGUAGCACGUGGGAGACGGCGGCCUUGGGGUCGUAAAGACCGUUUGUUGGGAAAGAACAGCAGCAGGUUAAUACGAAGCUGUUCUGACGGUACCCAAAGAAUAAGCACCGGCUAACUUCGUG
rnacentral:rRNA from 1 species